GAUGAAGAACGUAGCGAAAUGCGAUAAGUAGUGUGAAUUGCAGAAUUCAGUGAAUCAUCGAAUCUUUGAACGCACAUUGCGCCCCUUGGUAUCCCGAGGGGCAUGCCUGUUCGAGCGUCAUUUCACCACUCAAGCCUGGCUUGGUGUUGGGCGACGUCCCCUUUGGGGACGCGCCUCGAAACGCUCGGCGGCGUGGCACCGGCUUUAAGCGUAGCAGAAUCUUUCGCUUUGGAAGGCGGGGCCCCGUCUGCCGGAAGACCUACUCGCAAGGUUGACCUCGGAUCAGGCAGGGAUACCCGCUGAACUUAAGCAUAUCAAUAAGCGGAGGA
rnacentral:misc_RNA from 1 species